rnacentral:rRNA from 1 species
GACGAACGCUGGCGGCGUGCUUAACACAUGCAAGUCGAACGGAAAGGCCCAGCUUGCUGGGUACUCGAGUGGCGAACGGGUGAGUAACACGUGGGUGAUCUGCCCUGCACUCUGGGAUAAGCCUGGGAAACUGGGUCUAAUACCGGAUAUGACCAACUGUCGCAUGGUGGUUGGUGGAAAGCUUUUGCGGUGUGUGAUGGGCCCGCGGCCUAUCAGCUUGUUGGUGGGGUAAUGGCCUACCAAGGCGACUACGGGUAGCCGACCUGAGAGGGUGAUCGGCCAAACUGGGACUGAGACACGGCCCAGACUCCUACGGGAGGCAGCAGUGGGGAAUAUUGCACAAUGGGCGCAAGCGUGAUGCAGCGACGCCGCGGGAGGGAUGACGGCAUUCGGGUUGUAAACCUCUUUCACCAGGGACGAAGCGUGAGUGACGGUACCUGGAGAAGAAGCACCGGCCAACUACGUGCCAGCAGCCGCCGUAACAC